rnacentral:rRNA from 1 species
AACGAACGCUGGCGGCGUGGAUUAGGCAUGCAAGUCGAACGCGAAAGAGGGAGCAAUCCCUCAAGUAGAGUGGCGAACGGGUGAGUAACGCGUGAAGAACCUGCCUUCAACAGGGGGAUAACACUCCCAACGGGGUGCUAAUACCGCAUGAGACCACGGGUCCGCAUGGACCCUGAGGUCAAAGGUGGCCUCUGCUUGCAAGCUACCGGUUGAAGAUGGCUUCGCGUCCCAUAGCUAGUUGGCGGUGUAAAAGACCACCAAGGCGACGAUGGGUAGCUGGUCUGAGAGGAUGGUCAGCCACACUGGGACUGAGAUACGGUCCAGACUCCUACGGGAGGCAGCAGUCGAGAGGCUUUGGCAAUGGGGAAACCCUGACCAAGCGACGCCGCGUGGAGGAUGAAGG